GCUUCUCCCAUCUUGGGGAGCAGGUGGCUGGACAGGAAUCGGGAAAAUCCAGUCUCAGCCAACAGUUACAGUUAAAUAAGUAAAUACGAAAAAGAAAAGUAAGUGGGGUGGGCUUUCCUUCCAUCACCUGUAUUACUCCCUGUAAAAGGCCUCAAAAGCAAUCUUUGCUUUUUUUUUCCGUUAGAAAAGAAAAGUGUCUGUGGGGCUCAAGUUUGAGUUGAAACCAGGCUCAGGGUCCACCUGUCCUCGCUGAUCCGUGGAUUUCUGUGUGACCAGCUUUGGGGCACAACCUGAAGACCCUCACAGUCACCUUCCCCAUCUCCACCCUCCAGUAUUCAUCAGACAGGAGCAAUGGCUCAGCCACAUUCCACUCCACUGAGAGGGUCCUGCAGAGCCUGGCCUGUGAAGGAUGGGGGAGCCACCUGUGUGGACGCUGUCUGCACCCACCACCGUGACCCCGUGGGCCACCAUGCCUCUGUGCUGGGAGCUGAGAGUCUCCACGUGUCUGCUCUUCCUCUCGGUGGCUCCAGGCUCUGCACCCUGGAGUUUAUGCAUGCAGAGAGAACACCAGCUGCAUUUCCGCAGCAUCAGCUGGAACCACAGCAACCCGGAGCCCACAUCCUCGGAGUACACUGCCCU